AGCACUUCCGAAAGCAAGCACUGUGGGAUCCAGCCUUUGCUGGCCGCGGAGUUCAGGCUCUCUCAUUCCGGAAUCUCUCGCCGUUCCUCAGCGCCUACUCCCAGCGGUGCCGAAGGGCUAGGAGAGGCUCAAAUUUGGGGGACGGGGGCUUUGAGCCCGACAAGGUCGAUCCUAGCUCUCAGGUCCGUGGCAAAGGCCUGAGUGCAGAGCAGAGCGUGGGCGCGGGCCCGAGGCAGCGAGAAAGACAAGUGCAGUAGAGGUCCUGGGUCCGGUGCUUGGAAGUCGGGGGAGAGGAAGAGAAAGAAGUCGAGUGCGACCUGGAGACUUUGCGGGGGAUGCUGACGCCCCGAUGCCUUUGGGGGCGAGGAUCGGCGGGGUCGUCAUUGUCCCUGACGGGAGAGAGGAGAACGGGAGAGAAGAGAACGAGGUGCUGAAGCGCAGAGGAGCGAUGCUCCGAAGUAAUUCUGCUUGAAGUUGGAGUGCCUGAUCCAGCUGUUGGGUGGGUGUGGUAGGCAGAAUAACACUGCCUCCCCCAGAUCCACAUCAUAAUCCCCAUAACCUGUGAUUAUGUUGCUUUAUUUUUAAAUCAGAUUUUAUUGGUACAUUUUAAGAUAUACAUCACGGUCACAUUCAUCAUAGAGAAUUUGUACAAUAUGUUGCUUUUGAUGGCAAAAUGUGAUUAAGGACUGUGCAAAUGUGAUUAAGGAUUAAGCUACAGACUUUGGGAUUAGAAAGAUUAUCCUAGUUUAUUCAAGUGGGUUGGAUGCAGUUAGGAAACAGGAGCAAGAGUUAGGAGAUGGGACAGUGGAGGAUCAGAUGGGACAUGUCGCUGGCUUUGAAAGUCAAGAAAGGGGCCAUCACUUCUUGCCUUUGAAGAGUAAGGCCUCAAGCUUCUAGGAAGGGACAUAGCACUGCCUGGUGACACUUUGAUUAUUAGAUCCCAGGGUUCCUGUGUGGGACUCCUGUGGAACCACCAAAUAAUAAAAGUGUGUUUCAAGCA